CUACUAACUAGGUGCUAAGCGAUUUUAAGAGUUUUACUUUGUCAAAUCUUUCACAGGAUUUCUAAUGAACUGUUCUUACAGUCUUAUGAAAAUAUGUUCUCCAAAUUUGCUAGAGGUCAACAUCGAAUUUGAUUCUCUGAUCCCUGGCAGCUAAGGAAGAAGAAAACUUGAAUAGCCACAAGAUUCUAUGUCAGUAAAAGAAAAAUAUGCCAGGGACUCAUGAGAGGUAAUUACAAAUUGGCAAAUACAUACAAUGUAUGUGUGUCAAGCAGAAUAAUGGCUCCGCAAAGAUGCCCAUGGCCUAAUCUCUGGAACCUGGGAA
rnacentral:lncRNA from 13 species